rnacentral:misc_RNA from 1 species
GAACGCACAUUGCGCCUCCUGGUAUUCCGGGAGGCAUGCCUGUUCGAGCGUCAUUAAAUACCACUCAAGCCUAGCUUGGUGUUGAGACCUGCUGUCAAGGCAGUCUCUAAAAUCAGUGGCAGUGCUGUCAGGCUCUAAGCGUAGUAAAUUCAUCGCUAUAGACACCUGGUGGCCACUCGCCAGAACCCCCCCAUUUUUUAAUGAUUGACCUCGGAUUAGGUAGGGAUACCCGCUGAACUUAAG